GACGAACGCUGGCGGCGCGCCUAACACAUGCAAGUCGAACGGAGUCAAGAGGAGCUUGCUUUUCUUGACUUAGUGGCGAACGGGUGAGUAACGCGUGAGUAACCUGCCCUGGAGUGGGGGACAAUAGUUGGAAACGACUGCUAAUACCGCAUAAGCUCACGGAUCCGCAUGGAUCUGCGGGAAAAGGAUUUAUUCGCUUCAGGAUGGACUCGCGUCCAAUUAGCUAGUUGGUGAGGUAACGGCCCACCAAGGCGACGAUUGGUAGCCGGACUGAGAGGUUGAACGGCCACAUUGGGACUGAGACACGGCCCAGACUCCUACGGGAAGCAGCAGUGGGGGAUAUUGCACAAUGGGGGAAACCCUGAUGCAGCGACGCCGCGGGGAGGAAGAAGGUUUUCGGAUUGUAAACUCCUGUCGUUAGAGACGAUAAUGACGGUACCUAACAAGAAAGCACCGGCUAACUACGUG
rnacentral:rRNA from 1 species